UGGAGUCAAGUGUGCUUGUUAGUUAUGGCUGUUAAUUUUGACAGGAAGCUGCUGCAACUAACAAACCCAGAAACAGCCUUCCUAAAGGUUGGUUCUGGUGCAUUCUUCUCAGAUCUAGUCAUAAGAAUUGAGAGAGAAGGUUAGUUACUUGUAUUCUCUGUAUCUAUCUCAUGUUCUGUGUAGAUCUUUGAUUCAAUAUCGUGAACGCUCGAAGCUUGUUUCCUCAGUGGAUGCAGGUUCCUUCAACAGGUGCUGAACCUCUUAACUCUUGUGUGUUUGUCUUUGUUUUGUUUCUGUUCUUGAUCGAUUAUUGAGUGUGUGCAUAUCUUGAUCUGUGAAUCUUGCAUCUUGUAAGCAGAAUUAGGUUUUAGGGUGAAUUUGAUCUGAUUUAUAAGGGUUGAAUUCACGACUCUUAGAGAUGCAUUUGCCUGCAUAGGAAGAACAGGCCAAAAAUAACUUACAUGAUCCGAUUCCAAGCUUUUAACUGGGGGUUAUUUAGAUAAGUUAAUUUUGUCUUCAUACUUUAAUUGUCAUUAAUUUUCUCUGACCUAUGAAAUUUUAAAUUCCAUGACAUUAACUAAUGUGAUUGUUCUAGUGGAUUUCUGACUCAAAAUUUGUACCUAGAAUGCUUGUCUUUAACAACAGCAACAUUUGAUGCCGCCAUGGCACAUCUCAUUUUUGCCAUUACCUUUAUCUUGGCUAUUUGUUUUUGGAAUCGUGUCAAUCAUAUUGUGUUAUAAUUUAUGCCAAUUAAAAAUAUGUUAUUAAUUAAUAUGGAAGGGAUAGUAAUAUGCUCAUGGCUUAGCAAAAUGAUCACAAAGACUUCAUUAUUUUUAUAAAUAGUCAUAUCGACUCAUGCUUAGGUAAUUAUGCUUUAUGAGGUCAAAGGCUAUAAUUGUCCAAGAAAUAUCUAUGUGACAAUUUCUAAAAAUAUAGUAUGUGUCCACUUCGCCAAACCACAAGCAUAUUAACUCGUAACCACUAAUUUUAAUUUCUAUAACUAGAAUGGAGAAACUGGGACGGGAGAAACCAAGUGGGAAGGCUAAAAUUAGGCUUGGCAAUUUAAGGGCCUUGGCCUGGGCUUGGCAUAUAAUGUUUUAAAAGUCUAGGCCCUCUCAAAGCCCAUCUAAAUUGGGCGGACCUGGGCUUUUACGAAUUGUCAAAUAUUUUUUUAAUAAAACUAUAAAUUUUCAAAACAUAAUUAUUCAAUACAUAAUACUACAAUAGGCUAAAAACUUAAACAUAAUUCUCUAAUACAUGAUUAGCCAACACACAAAAUAUGAAAAUACUAACAUCACAAGUACCGUACACAACAUACAAAUCAACCACUAAUAUAAAAAAGAAACUAAUCCAAUAUUUGCGGGCCAUCUUCGUCCUCAUCCUUCAAUUCCUCGCCAGUACAAAUUUCUUCUUCAGGAACUCCACCUAAUAAAAAAAAAGGUGUUAAAAUAAAUAAUAAAGCAAAAUAAUUAGUAAUUAAUUUUGUAAAAAAUAUUUUUAUACCUCCAUUGCUAGUAGCCCAUAACCAAUGCUGAGAGCACAUGAUAGCUUCCAACGUGUCUGGAUGUAGUCUACUCCGUUGUGGACUCAAUGUUCUACCCCUCGUACUAAAAGCCGACUCCAAGGCAACAGUUGUCACAGGUAUGGCUAGCAAAUCCUUGGUUAUCUCCGCCAAAAUAGGAUAUUUACCUUUGUUCAUCUUCCACCAUUGUAAAACAUCAAAAUCCAGAGUUCUUUUUACUAAAGGAUCCUCCAAAUACCUAUCUAAGUCGGACUUCGAACUAAUAGGUUGACUAUUUUGGGUUGCAUAUGCAUCAAAUCACCCAUAUCAUCUAUAUCAUCAAAAUCAAUAUGAGAUUGGUCGGGAGGAACAACAAGUGCGGUAAAAGACUCACCAACAACACUGUAUCUCGUAGUUGCGGAUUUGGCCUCAUAAUAAUUCAUCAUUUCAUCACAAAGCUCUCGCACUCUCUUAAGUUGAUUUUCAAGGCCGACUACAUAAAUCUUCAGAUAAUAAUAAUUAAUCAACAUCAUCUUGUAUCUCGGAUCAAGAAUAACAAUCAUGACCAAUACCCCACUAAUCUCAUCCCAAUACUUCAAAAAAAUUUCAAUCAUGUUAUCCGCCAUAUUCUUAACUACAAGAACAUAUGAUGUUUGCCACCCCUUCAAUGCAAUCCUCAUUUUACAAACCAAUGGAAAAAAUAGAUUAGCAGUGGGGUAUGUUGUACCCGAAAACAUCUCAGUCAACCUUGAAAAAGGCCUCAAAUAAUCUAGCAUUUGCUUAGCCAGCUCCCAUUCUUCACUACUAGGCAAACACUUGUAUUGCGGCUCAAGUGUUUGCAGUCGAGAAAAAACACUUUCGUACUUCACUACAAGUUCAAGCAUCGCAAAAGUCGAAUUCCAUCUAGUUGGACAAUCAAGCCCCAACGUUUUCACAUCCGUUUGCAUUUGACGACAUGCCAACUUAAACUUUUCCACUUGUUUUGGCGAUGAACUCCAGUAAGACACACUAUCUCUAACACGUGUAAUACCACUCUCAAUCACCGACAACCCAUCCUUCACAAUUAAAUUCAAAAUAUGAGCCGCACAACUCAUAUGAAAAAAAUUACUGCUCAAUAUCAUUGACUUAGUUGACAACAAUCCCUUCAAUCUUUGAACCAUCGCAUCAUUAGUUGAACAAUUAUCCAAAGAAACUGUGGAUAACUUUCUAUCUAGAUUCCAAUCCAUCAAACACUUCACCAAAAUUUGGGAAAUGCAAUCAGCUGUAUGUGGGGCUUGCUCAUAUAUAAAUAUGUUCAUUCAAAAAAAUAAUAAAAAUUAUGCCAAGUUACAAAAAAAUUAAAUAAAAAAUUUUUAAAUUUAAUGAAGUACCUAUACUAUACAAAUUUAAAUACAAAAUUUUAAUAUUUAAUAAAGUAAAAAUACCUUAGGAUUCGACUUUGCAAAUGCCAAGAGUUGUCAAUGAAAUGUCCUGUAACAACCAUAUAAACUUUCUUUUGAUUACAAGCCGUCCACGUGUCUGUAGUAAUUACUACCCUACUAUUAUUAAUCUCUAACAAAUUCAUUGCCUUCCCCUUUUCAACAUUAUAUAUCUUAAAGAUCUCACUCUUUAAAGUGUUUCUGGACAUAUGCUUCACCAAUUGAUUGCAAUAAUCAACAAAAUCUAAGAGGAAGCUCAUGUUUAACAACAACUAUUGUAAGUUUUUUACGUGCAACCAAUGGAUCAAAUUUCGGAAUUCCAAGCUCACCACUUUCGAUUUUCACCAAGUGUUGCUUAUUCUCAAAAACUUCUUCAAUUGUCGGUUGAUUAAAACCAUGAAUUUGUCUAGUAUAUCUAUUCAAAUGACUGGUUCUCGAUCCACAAGAAAGAACCGUUCCGCAAUGAUUGCAUUUUGCCUUUGCUACACUACCAACAUUUAUUUUUGUGAAAUGGUCCCAACAAUUUGAAACAACCCUCUGCUUUCUUUUUUUAUCACUCCGCGUUUCUUCUUGAACAUUUUCCGACUCCACAGAUGGAUUUGAAGGCAAAUUAGAAGAUUUAGAAACAUUUUCCAUUAUAAACCUAUACAAAAUUAAAGGAGAUAAAAUAAUUAAUUAAUUAAUUAAUUAAAAAGUGUAAAUGCAGUAAACGCAUACUGCAUUUACAAGCACAUGAGUGACAGGACAACAAAUUUACAAUGUCCAGAACUACAUACAAUAUCUAUACAAUGGAGACAUCACCUUAAUACAGGCUGAGAAAAAUAAUAUGAAUAUGAAAAUUAAACAUCAUUGAGAAAUAUAAACACUUUGCAAUUGAAGACAGGAAAUAAAUUCUAUAUCAUUCGUACCUUCACAAUUCUGUUCCAAAGUUCCAAAAUCAAAGCAAGAAGUGAAACUAGUAUCAUCUCAAUCAUAGUACACUAUGAACUGCAGGUUUGCUGCUCCUAAAAAUUGCAAUGCCAUGGCACUACUAUUUUCAGAAAAUGAACAAAGGAUCAAGAUUGCAUGGCCCUAUGGAUACCAUCAACUGUUGAUGUAUGUUAUUAGGAAUUAAUCACUAACAAUCAAUUACAAGGGAUUCACUUAAAUUAACUCAAAUGGCAGGCCAGCAACCUACACACGCAAAAAAGGAAAAAAAAAAAAAAGGACGGCUGUGCUGGUAUUCCAAACUACAAAAUAAAAAAAUUUGAAGCUUUAUUGACAUGGAUUACCAGAGUUAGAUGCAGUGUCGCGUGGCUUGCUGGUGGGUGGGAGGCGCGGCUGCGACACGCGGGAGAUGCUGUUGCUGCCUUGCUGGAUGGCUGGACGGUGGGUGGUUGGGCGGUGGGUUACGCCUUACGUGGGAGAUGCUCGCUACUGCUGCUGCUGGAUGGUGGGUCGUUGAUGGCUGAUGCUGGCUGGAUGCUGCUGGAAUCUGGAGAUGCUCGCUGCUGUUGGCUAUCGGCAGCGAGAACAGUGAGACGCCAACACGGUGAUGCUGUGACAUUGAGUGAGAUUUUGUCAUGGUGCUCACGAAUAGAGGGAUUUAGGGAUUUUGUCACAGUUCAGUAGUUCACACUUUACAAAACCUUUGCCCG
rnacentral:lncRNA from 1 species